rnacentral:rRNA from 1 species
CGAUGAUCCCAGCUUGCUGGGGGAUUAGUGGCGAACGGGUGAGUAACACGUGAGUAACCUGCCCUUGACUCUGGGAUAAGCCUGGGAAACUGGGUCUAAUACCGGAUAUGACCUUCCAUCGCAUGGUGGUUGGUGGAAAGCUUUUGUGGUUUUGGAUGGACUCGCGGCCUAUCAGCUUGUUGGUGAGGUAAUGGCUUACCAAGGCGACGACGGGUAGCCGGCCUGAGAGGGUGACCGGCCACACUGGGACUGAGACACGGCCCAGACUCCUACGGGAGGCAGCAGUGGGGAAUAUUGCACAAUGGGCGCAAGCCUGAUGCAGCGACGCCGCGUGAGGGAUGACGGCCUUCGGGUUGUAAACCUCUUUCAGUAGGGAAGAAGCCGCAAGGUGACGGUACCUGCAGAAGAAGCGCCGGCUAACUACGUGCCAGCAGCCGCGGUAAUACGUAGGGCGCAAGCGUUAUCCGGAAUUAUUGGGCGUAAAGAGCUCGUAGGCGGUUUGUCGCGUCUGCCGUGAAAGUCCGGGGCUCAACUCCGGAUCUGCGGUGGGUACGGGCAGACUAGAGUGAUGUAGGGGAGACUGGAAUUCCUGGUGUAGCGGUGAAAUGCGCAGAUAUCAGGAGGAACACCGAUGGCGAAGGCAGGUCUCUGGGCAUUAACUGACGCUGAGGAGCGAAAGCAUGGGGAGCGAACAGGAUUAGAUACCCUGGUAGUCCAUGCCGUAAACGUUGGGCACUAGGUGUGGGGGACAUUCCACGUUUUCCGCGCCGUAGCUAACGCAUUAAGUGCCCCGCCUGGGGAGUAC